GCGACCCCGUGGCGGCGCAGGUGUAGCCGGCGGGGGUCCGGGGGCGGGCUGGCAGUGCUGCCGCCUCCGCCACCCUCACUGAGGCUGGGCCGGAGGGGGGAAGCCGCGGCGGGGCUACGGUCCGCAGCGCUGAGGCACUACUGUUCGCAUCUCCUUGUGACCGCUGGUCCUGCACCCUUGACCCUCUGGGCAAGCUAGUGCCACGUUGGCUGCACAGAGAAGUGACCGAAGCACAGCCACACAGCCCCGGAAGCCAGUUUCAUUCCUACUCAGUGAAAGGCUGGAAGCUUUGCCACGAACUUCUAGAGUGAGACAGCAGUGAUGGUGAUCGAGACUGCCUCUCACAGAGUUCUCCCUUUCCUAACUCUCCAGUU